rnacentral:rRNA from 1 species
UGGGGAAUAUUGGACAAUGGGCGCAAGCCUGAUCCAGCCAUGCCGCGUGAGUGAUGAAGGCCUUAGGGUUGUAAAGCUCUUUCACCGGUGAAGAUAAUGACGGUAACCGGAGAAGAAGCCCCGGCUAACUUCGUGCCAGCAGCCGCGGUAAUACGAAGGGGGCUAGCGUUGUUCGGAUUUACUGGGCGUAAAGCGCACGUAGGCGGAUCGAUCAGUCAGGGGUGAAAUCCCAGAGCUCAACUCUGGAACUGCCUUUGAUACUGUCGAUCUGGAGUAUGGAAGAGGUGAGUGGAAUUCCGAGUGUAGAGGUGAAAUUCGUAGAUAUUCGGAGGAACACCAGUGGCGAAGGCGGCUCACUGGUCCAUUACUGACGCUGAGGUGCGAAAGCGUGGGGAGCAAACA